rnacentral:rRNA from 1 species
AGAGUUUGAUCCUGGCUCAGGAUGAACGCUGGCGGCGUGCCUAACACAUGCAAGUCGAGCGAGAAAUUUUCAAAUGAAGCUUCGGUAGAUUUUGGAGAUGGAAAGCGGCGGACGGGUGAGUAACGCGUAGGCAACCUGCCCUUUGCAGAGGGAUAGCCAUUGGAAACGAUGAUUAAAACCUCAUAACACCUCAUUAUCACAUGGUAGAGAGGUCAAAGAUUUAUCGGCAAAGGAUGGGCCUGCGUCUGAUUAGCUAGUUGGUGGGGUAACGGCUCACCAAGGCGACGAUCAGUAGCCGACCUGAGAGGGUGAUCGGCCACAUUGGAACUGAGACACGGUCCAAACUCCUACGGGAGGCAGCAGUGGGGAAUAUUGCACAAUGAGCGAAAGCCUGAUGCAGCAACGCCGCGUGAAGGAUGAAGGUCUUCGGAUCGUAAACUUCUGUCCUAUGGGAAGAUAAUGACGGUACCAUAGGAGGAAGCCCCGGCUAACUACGUGCCAGCAGCCGCGGUAAUACGUAGGGGGCGAGCGUUAUCCGGAAUUAUUGGGCGUAAAGAGUGCGUAGGUGGUAACUUAAGCGCGGGGUUUAAGGCAAUGGCUUAACCAUUGUUCGCCCUGCGAACUGGCAUACUUGAGUGCAGGAGAGGAAAGCGGAAUUCCUAGUGUAGCGGUGAAAUGCGUAGAUAUUAGGAGGAACACCAGUGGCGAAGGCGGCUUUCUGGACUGAAACUGACACUGAGGCACGAAAGUGUGGGGAGCAAACAGGAUUAGAUACCCUGGUAGUCCACACCGUAAACGAUGAGCACUAGGGUGUCGGGGGAGCAAUCCUUCCGGUGCCGGAAGUAACGCAUUAAGUGCUCCGCUUGGGAAGGACGUACGCAAGUAUGAAGCUCAAAGGAAUUGACCGGGGACCCGCACAAGCAGCGGAGCAUGUGGUUUAAAUUGGAAGCAACGCGGAAGAACCUUACCAGGGCUUGACAUCCCUGUGACAGACCCUUAACCGGGUCCUUCUUCGGACAGAGGAGACAGGUGGUGCAUGGUUGUCGUCAGCUCGUGUCGUGAGAUGUUGGGUUGAGUCCCGCAACGAGCGCAACCCUUGUCAUUAGUUGCCAUCAUUAAGUUGGGCACUCUAGUGAGACUGCCGGGGAUAACUCGGAGGAAGGUGGGGAUGACGUCAAAUCAUCAUGCCCUAUAUGUCCUGGGCUACACACGUACUACAAUGGAUGUAACAGAGGGAAGCGAAGUAGUGAUACUAAGCGAAACCCAAAAAGCAUUCACAGUUCGGAUUGAAGGCUGAAAUUCGCCUUCAUGAAGCCGGAAUUGCUAGUAAUGGCAGGUCAGCAUACUGCCGUGAAUACGUUCCCGGGCCUUGCACUCACCGCCCGUCA